AGAGUUUGAUCAUGGCUCAGAACGAACGCUAGCGGCAGGCUUCAAACAUGCAAGUCGAACGCGAAAGUGGCUUCGGCCAUGAGUAGAGUGGCGCACGGGUGAGUAACACGUAGCUAACAUCCCCUCUCGCUGGGGACAACUCCGGGAAACCGGAGCUAAUACCGAAUGAUCUAACAGAGUCUGAGGACUUUGUUGGUAAAGUCGUAAGACGCGAGAGGAUUGGGCUGCGGUCUAUUAGCUAGUUGGUAGGGUAACGGCCUACCAAGGCGACGAUAGAUAGCUGGUCUGAGAGGACGACCAGCCACACUGGAACUGACACACGGUCCAGACUCCCACGGGAGGCAGCAGUUGGGAAUAUUGGACAAUGGGGGAAACCCUGAUCCAGCCAUGCCGCGUGAGUGAUGAAGGCCUUCGGGUCGUAAAGCUCUUUUAGCGGGGACAAAGGGAAACUUGAUGGUACCCGCAGAAAAAGCACCGGCUAACUCCGUGCCAGCAGCCGCGGUAAUACGGAGGGUGCAAGCGUUGUUCGGAAUUAUUGGGCGUAAAGCGCGUGUAGGCGGCUUUUUAAGUCUGGUGUGAAAGCCCGGGGCUCAACCUCGGAACUGCACUGGAUACUGGAAAGCUAGAGGAUGAGAGAGGAUGGUGGAAUUCCUGGUGUAGGGGUGAAAUCCGUAGAUAUCAGGAGGAACAUCGGUGGCGAAGGCGGCCAUCUGGCUCAUAUCUGACGCUGAGACGCGAAAGCGUGGGGAGCAAACAGGAUUAGAUACCCUAGUAGUCC
rnacentral:rRNA from 1 species